rnacentral:misc_RNA from 1 species
CUUUAAGAGAUGAAACCAAUUCAGAGUAAGCUUCUUUGGGGAAGUAUGUAUAAGAACUGCCACUAUCAAACACUAUCUGUCUUGUUCUGCCCUGUCCACCUGAACUAAGUGGGGUGCUUCCAUAAUUCACCUUCAUAAUCUGUGUCUGAUAAGAUUCUAUGGAAAGAUUAUCGAGCAUAGGAACCCAUGCCAUGCCCCAUUGUGGUACAAAAUCAUCACCUAAGAACAUA